rnacentral:rRNA from 1 species
AGCAUGUGGUUUAAUUCGAUGCAACGCGAAGACUUACCUGGGCUUGACAUCCCGGGAAUCCCUUGGAAACAAGGAGUGCCCUUCGGGGAACCUGGAGACAGGUGCUGCGUGGCUGUCGUCAGCUCGUGUCGUGAGAUGUAGGGUUAAGUCCCGCAACGAGCGCAACCCUUGUCUUUAAUUGCCAUCAUUGAGUUGGGCACUUUAAAGAGACUGCCGGUGUUAAAACCGGAGGAAGGUGGGGAUGACGUCAAGUCCUCAUGGCCUUUAUGCCCAGGGCUACACACGUGCUACAAUGGGUGGUACAAAGAGCAGCCAGCUCGCGAGAGUGAGCAAAUCUCAAAAAGCCAUCCUCAGUUCGGAUUGAAGUCUGCAACUCGACUUCAUGAAGUUGGAAUCGCUAGUAAUCGCGGAUCAGCAUGCCGCGGUCGAAUACGUUCCCGGGCCUU